CGUUGUUCGGAAUUUUGGGCGUAAAGGGCAUGUAGGCGGUCUGGUAAGCCUGGCGUGAAAGGCCACAGCUCAACUGUGGGAUUGCGUUGGGAACUGCUGGGCUUGAUUUAUGGAGAGGGAGCUAGAAUUCCUGGUGUAGGGGUGAAAUCUGUAGAUAUCAGGAAGAAUACCGAUGGCGAAGGCAAGCUCCUGGCCGAUGACUGACGCUGAGGUGCGAAAGUGUGGGGAUCAAACAGGAUUAGAUACCCUGGUAGUCCACACUGUAAACGAUGUGCACUAGGUGCUGGGGCGGUAGCUUCAUUGCCGGAGCGAACGUGGUAAUAGCACCGCCUGGGGAGUAUGCUCGCAAGGGUGAAA
rnacentral:rRNA from 1 species